GGGUUACAAAUGGAUUUGGGUGUAACAAGGACAUAUUGUAGGUGCGGCUGUAAAUGCUCAGAUUUUUCAGCUGGGAAUGUACAGUAGGAAGCUCUGACAGUUCAACUGGUGUUGAUCCCCCUCGUCUCCGUAUACGCUUGUGCCAAAAACCCGACGCAAAGUCUCAGCAGAAAAUGCCCAUUUUUUUAGCAGCAACCCAUUUAAUGAGGGGUUUCAGCAAUCCAGGCGCAUGUGAGUUAAUAUUCCAGCUUUCUACAUUUGAGUUCAUCUUUGCACUAUACUGCAUAUGCGACCAGAUCCGAGCAAUGAAAAGUCAGAAGAAGUUGAUGAAGAUGCCGAUUAGGAGCCUCUACAGAAAUAUGCCGGGACUGGGCCAUUUAUAGUGAAUAGGCACAAUGGCCAGGGGUAUCAGCUUCUAUGCAGGCACACACGCUGAUAGAUGAUUAUGCCAUGCAGGAAAAAGCUGACAAGGAAACACAUUGCUUGCAGUAGUAGCUGGCACAGUGAUACUGGGACACUGGGAAAUGAGGAAAGUGAACAAUCCCCAAGCUAUCCGCAUCUGAAAGGGCAAUGGCAUAUCAACCGAAGCACUCGCUCCGGAACAAUCAAAAAUGCUACAUAUGUCAUGUCCUAAGCUGAGGAAGUCAAAUAAACACCCUUAAAAUAUUGCAAUAUACUGUAUAAAUAUUAGGGAUGCACCGAAUCCACUAUUUUGGAUUCGGCAGAAGCCCCGAAUCCUUCGCAAAAGAUUUGG